AUGGCGCCGGACAGGCUGAGCAAAUUGCCGGACUGCCUGCUCCAGGCCAUCCUCUCCUCCUUGGGAGCCAGGCAGGUCUUGCAGACGACGGCUCUGUCGCGGCGGUGGCGCCACGUCUGGCGUGGUGCUCUGUGCCUGUCCCUCGACAUCGACCAGCGGGAGUUCGAAGCAGCGUCGACCGACCGCGACGGCAGGAGCAGCAGAUCCGUGGAGCUCGAGGAGUGGGCAAGGUUCGACGACUUCGCGGACAGCCUCCUCCUGCUGGAGUUGGACCGCCGCGACGGCGGCGACGGCCUGCCCCUGGACCUGGACUCGCUCCGCCUGCACGUCGUCGACCAUCUGCAGGCCAGCCGGCGGAGGCUGCCGCUCCACAUCAAGUGGCUGGACUGGGUUCACGGCUGCCUCGACCGCUACCGUCCCGCCGCGCUCGAGAUCCAGAGCGAUUACGACAUACCCGUCGACCUGCGUCUCAUGGGCCUCCGCUCCGAUCUAAGCCGCCUCAAGACGGUGCGCCUCACCGGGGUCCUACACAGCGGCGGCCUCGGCGACUCCGUGUGCCCUCAGCUGGAGAACGUCGAGUUCACCAGCUGCGCCAUUGGUUUUGGGGAGGUGGUGACCAGUCACACGCUCAAGAAGCUGGUCAUGGACCGUUGCUGGAGGAGAGCGGAUAUGAAGCAACGUGCUCCCCCGCUCGUCGACGCUCCCGCCCUUACUUCUCUACGUCUGGUCCUCGAGUUCCAGGGCAUAUGGGUGUUCCGGACGCCGUCGCUCGUCGAGGCAUCGGUCCGUUCCACGAGACGGUGGGUCGGCAGGGCCGACGAAUACCAGCUUCUCUGCAACCUCUAUAACGUGACAAGAUUAGAGCUCUCCGGCUUCCUGGCGCUAGAGAAGAUUAGGAUGAAGCGAGGACAUCAAGAUUUGCCAACAUUUCAUAAUCUGACUACAUUGCUCUUGGACGAGUGCGACUUGACCGGUGAAGUUUACAACAUGCUAGAGUUUUUUCUGAACAAUGCUCCCAAACUGGAGGAACUUACUCUGCAGAAUUGCAAGCUUCCGCAAGAUUGGACCGAGUCGAAGAAGAUGUGUCUGAACCUCAAGUUUAGGGAGAUCAACUCUCAUAAGGAGGGUGAUUUUCAACAGGUGGAUCAUUGA
rnacentral:rRNA from 1 species